rnacentral:rRNA from 1 species
AGAGUUUGAUCAUGGGUCAGAUUGAACGCUGGCGGCAUGCCUUACACAUGCAAGUCGAACGCGAAAGUGGGGGCAACCCUGCGAGUAGAGUGGCGAACGGGUGAGUAACACAUCGGAACGUACCCAGGAGUGGGGGACAACCUCGAGAAAUCGAGGCUAAUACCGCAUACGUCCUGAGGGAGAAAGCGGGGGAUCCGUAAGGACCUCGCGCUCAUGGAGCGGCCGAUGUCGGAUUAGCUAGUUGGCGGGGUAAGAGCCCACCAAGGCUACGAUCCGUAGCUGGUUUGAGAGAACGACCAGCCACACUGGGACUGAGACACGGCCCAGACUCCUACGGGAGGCAGCAGUGGGGAAUUUUGGACAAUGGGGGCAACCUUGAUCCAGCCAUGCCGCGUGAGUGAAGAAGGCCUUCGGGUUGUAAAGCUCUUUCGGCCGGAACGAAAUCGGCAACGUGAAUAACGUUGCUGGAUGACGGUACUGGAAGAAGAAGCACCGGCUAACUACGUGCCAGCCGCCGCGGUAAUUC